CUCGUAGGCGGUUCGUCGCGUCCGGUGUGAAAGUCCAUCGCUUAACGGUGGAUCCGCGCCGGGUACGGGCGGGCUUGAGUGCGGUAGGGGAGACUGGAAUUCCCGGUGUAACGGUGGAAUGUGUAGAUAUCGGGAAGAACACCAAUGGCGAAGGCAGGUCUCUGGGCCGUCACUGACGCUGAGGAGCGAAAGCGUGGGGAGGCGAACA
rnacentral:rRNA from 1 species